GCCGGAAUAGCUCAGUUGGUAGAGCAACUGAUUCGUAAUCAGUAGGUCGGUGGUUCGAGUCCACUUUCCGGCA
rnacentral:tRNA from 1 species